ensembl:lncRNA
GUGAUCGGUAUCGUGGCCAUGUAGGCUAUGUUACGGCGUCUGCCGUGGAUCCUGGUGGGAGCUAGGAUCGCCCUGCAUGUGUGAUUUGUCUGUCUGUGUAUUUUCCUGUUGUGGCCGGAUCUAACAGACUCCAGCUUUUAUGGACUCCUCCUUUCUCCUAAUCAACCAGACACACUUGUGGAUCAUCAUUAUCAACACACCUGCUUAUCUACUCCGGCUUCUGAACCAUUCAUCGCCAGCUCGUCAAACAGUCCAGCUAUAUCUUCUCACUACCGCGGCGUUGUCCUCCCACACAGCCUUCCUGGUUUCCACACCGACCCGGCUGGCCUUCCACAUUGACCAGCCUCUGCUCAUUCCAAGCGAAUAAACAUUUUAACUUUACAACCCUCGUCUAUUGUGG